rnacentral:rRNA from 1 species
CCUACGGGUGGCAGCAGUGAGGAAUAUUGGUCAAUGGACGAAAGUCUGAACCAGCCAAGUAGCGUGAAGGAUGACUGCCCUAUGGGUUGUAAACUUCUUUUAUAAAGGAAUAAAGCGAUCCACGUGUGCCUUUUUGCAUGUACUUUAUGAAUAAGGAUCGGCUAACUCCGUGCCAGCAGCCGCGGUAAUACGGAGGAGCCGAGCUUUAUCCGGAUUUAUUGGGUUUAAAGGGUGCGUAGGCGGUCUUUUAAGCCGGCGGUCAAAUGUCGGGGCUCAACCCCGGCCUGCCGUCGGAACUGGGUGACUUGAGUGGGUGAGAAGUAGGCGGAAUGCGUGGUGUAGCGGUGAAAUGCAUAGAUAUCACGCAGAACCCCGAUUGCGAAGGCAGCAUACUGGAGCCUUACUGACGCUGAGGCACGAAAGCGCGGGGAUCGAACAGGAUUAGAUACCCUUGUAGUC